rnacentral:rRNA from 1 species
GACGAACGCUGGCGGCGUGCUUAACACAUGCAAGUCGAACGGAAAGGCCCUGCUUUUGUGGGGUGCUCGAGUGGCGAACGGGUGAGUAACACGUGAGUAACAUGCCCUUGACUGUGGGAUAACUUCAGGAAAAUGGGGCUAAUACCGGAGAGGAGCUCCUGCUGCAUGGGGGGGGUUGGAAAGUUUCGGCGGUGGGGGAUGGACUCGCGGCUUAUCAGCUUGUUGGUGGGGUAGUGGCUUACCAAGGCUUUGACGGGUAGCCGGCCUGAGAGGGUGACCGGCCACCUUGGGCCUGCGAUACGGCCCAGACUCCUACGGGAGGCAGCAGUGGGGAAUAUUGCACAAUGGGCGGACGCCUGAUGCAGCAACGCCGCGUGCGGGAUGACGGCCUUCGGGUUGUAAACCGCUUUCGCCUGUGCCGAAGCGUGAGUGACGGUAAUGGGUAAAGAAGCACCGGCUAACUACGUG